rnacentral:rRNA from 1 species
CAGGUGGAGCCUGCGGUCUAAUCGGACUCAACGCCGGGCAGCUCACCGGAUAAGGCAGCUGGAUGAUAGCCGGGCUGAAGACUCUGCUUGACUAGCUGAGAGGAGGUGCAUGGCCGUCGUCAGUUCGUACUGUGAAGCAUCCUGUUAAGUCAGGCAACGAGCGAGACCCACGCCAACAGUUGCCAGCAUGUCCUCCGGGAUGAUGGGGACACUGUUGGGACCGCCUCUGCUAAAGAGGAGGAAGGAAUGGGCAACGGUAGGUCAGCAUGCCCCGAAUUAUCCGGGCUACACGCGGGCUACAAUGGUCAGGACAAUGGGUAUCGACACCGAGAGGUGGAGGCAAUCUCCUAAACCUGUCCUUAGUUCGGAUUGUGGGCUGCAACUCGCCCACAUGAAGCUGGAAUCCGUAGUAAUCGCGUUUCAAAAUAGCGCGGUGAAUAUGUCCCUGCUCCUU